GUUGUAUGGUUAAGUGACUAAGCGUACACGGUGGAUGCCUUGGCAGUCAGAGGCGAUGAAAGACGUAGUAACUUGCGAUAAGCCCAGAUUAGGUAGUAACAACCAUUUGAGUCUGGGAUUUCUGAAUGGGGAAACCCACUUACAUAAGUAAGUAUCAUUAACUGAAUACAUAGGUUAAUGAGGCGAACCGGGGGAACUGAAACAUCUAAGUACCCCGAGGAAAAGAAAUCAACCGAGAUUCCGAAAGUAGCGGCGAGCGAAAUUGGACUAGCCCUUAAGCUUUACACGCGUUAGACGAACGGUCUGGAAAGUCCGACGAUACAGGGUGAUAGUCCCGUAGUUGACGACGUGUGUUCAGUGAAAUCGAGUAGGGCGGGACACGUGAUAUCCUGUCUGAAUAUGGGGGGACCAUCCUCCAAGGCUAAAUACUACUGACUGACCGAUAGUGAACCAGUACCGUGAGGGAAAGGCGAAAAGAACCCCUGUGAGGGGAGUGAAAUAGAACCUGAAACCGUGUACGUACAAGCAGUAGGAGCAGGCUUGUCCUGUGACUGCGUACCUUUUGUAUAAUGGGUCAGCGACUUAUAUUCAGUGGCAAGGUUAACCAUCUAGGGGAGCCGUAGGGAAACCGAGUCUUAACUGGGCGUUCAGUCUCUGGAUAUAGACCCGAAACCAGGUGAUCUAGCCAUGGGCAGGUUGAAGGUUGAGUAACAUCAACUGGAGGACCGAACCGACUAAUGUUGAAAAAUUAGCGGAUGACUUGUGGCUAGGGGUGAAAGGCCAAUCAAACCUGGAGAUAGCUGGUUCUCCCCGAAAGCUAUUUAGGUAGCGCCUCGGACGAAUACUACUGGGGGUAGAGCACUGUUAAGGCUAGGGGGUCAUCCCGACUUACCAACCCUUUGCAAACUCCGAAUACCAGUAAGUACUAUCCGGGAGACACACGGCGGGUGCUAACGUCCGUCGUGGAGAGGGAAACAACCCAGACCGCCAGCUAAGGUCCCAAAUUACUACUAAGUGGGAAACGAUGUGGGAAGGCUCAGACAGCCAGGAUGUUGGCUUAGAAGCAGCCAUCAUUUAAAGAAAGCGUAAUAGCUCACUGGUCGAGUCGGCCUGCGCGGAAGAUGUAACGGGGCUAAGUAGUAAACCGAAGCUGCGGCAAUGUGCUUUUGCACAUUGGGUAGGGGAGCGUUCUGUAAGCGGUUGAAGGUGUGUGGUAACGCAUGCUGGACGUAUCAGAAGUGCGAAUGCUGACAUGAGUAACGAUAAAGGGGGUGAAAAACCUCCUCGCCGGAAGACCAAGGGUUCCUGUCCAACGUUAAUCGGGGCAGGGUAAGUCGACCCCUAAGGCGAGGCCGAAAGGCGUAGUCGAUGGGAAACGGGUUAAUAUUCCCGUACUUCUUACAAUUGCGAUGGGGGGACGGAGAAGGCUAGGUGGGCCUGGCGACGGUUGUCCAGGUUCAAGUGCGUAGGCUUAAGAGUUAGGUAAAUCCGGCUCUUUUUAAGGCUGAGACACGACGUCGAGCACCUACGGGUGUGAAGUCAUUGAUGCCAUGCUUCCAGGAAAAGCCUCUAAGCUUCAGAUUGUAAGGAAUCGUACCCCAAACCGACACAGGUGGUCGGGUAGAGAAUACCAAGGCGCUUGAGAGAACUCGGGUGAAGGAACUAGGCAAAAUGGUACCGUAACUUCGGGAGAAGGUACGCUCUCGACGGUGAAGUCCCUCGCGGAUGGAGCUAUUGAGAGUCGCAGAUACCAGGUGGCUGCAACUGUUUAUUAAAAACACAGCACUGUGCAAAAUCGUAAGAUGACGUAUACGGUGUGACGCCUGCCCGGUGCCGGAAGGUUAAUUGAUGGGGUUAGACUUCGGUCGAAGCUCUUGAUCGAAGCCCCGGUAAACGGCGGCCGUAACUAUAACGGUCCUAAGGUAGCGAAAUUCCUUGUCGGGUAAGUUCCGACCUGCACGAAUGGCGUAAUGAUGGCCACGCUGUCUCCACCCGAGACUCAGUGAAAUUGAAAUCGCUGUGAAGAUGCAGUGUACCCGCGGCUAGACGGAAAGACCCCGUGAACCUUUACUACAGCUUGGCACUGAACAUUGACCCUACAUGUGUAGGAUAGGUGGGAGGCUUUGAAGCACGUACGCCAGUAUGUGUGGAGCCGUCCUUGAAAUACCACCCUUGUAGUGUUGAUGUUCUAACGUCGACCCCUAAUCGGGGUUGCGGACAGUGCCUGGUGGGUAGUUUGACUGGGGCGGUCUCCUCCCAAAGAGUAACGGAGGAGCACGAAGGUGGGCUAAUCACGGUUGGACAUCGUGAGGUUAGUGCAAUGGCAUAAGCCCGCUUGACUGCGAGAAUGACAAUUCGAGCAGGUGCGAAAGCAGGUCAUAGUGAUCCGGUGGUUCUGAAUGGAAGGGCCAUCGCUCAACGGAUAAAAGGUACUCCGGGGAUAACAGGCUGAUACCGCCCAAGAGUUCAUAUCGACGGCGGUGUUUGGCACCUCGAUGUCGGCUCAUCACAUCCUGGGGCUGAAGUCGGUCCCAAGGGUAUGGCUGUUCGCCAUUUAAAGUGGUACGCGAGCUGGGUUUAGAACGUCGUGAGACAGUUCGGUCCCUAUCUGCCGUGGGCGUUGGAAGAUUGAAGGGGGCUGCUCCUAGUACGAGAGGACCGGAGUGGACGAACCUCUGGUGUUCGGGUUGUGUCGCCAGACGCAUUGCCCGGUAGCUAAGUUCGGAAUCGAUAACCGCUGAAAGCAUCUAAGCGGGAAGCGAGCCCUGAGAUGAGUCUUCCCUGAUACUUUAAGUAUCCUAAAGGGUUGUCGGAGACUACGACGUUGAUAGGUCAGGUGUGUAAGUGCUGUGAGGCAUUGAGCUAACUGAUACUAAUUGCCCGUGAGGCUUAACCAUACAACACCCAAGGGGUUU
rnacentral:rRNA from 1 species